GACGAACGCUGGCGGCGUGCUUAACACAUGCAAGUCGAACGGAAAGGCCCUGCUUUUGUGGGGUGCUCGAGUGGCGAACGGGUGAGUAACACGUGAGUAACCUGCCCUUGACUUUGGGAUAACUUCAGGAAACUGGGGCUAAUACCGGAUAGGAGCUCCUGCUGCAUGGUGGGGGUUGGAAAGUUUCGGCGGUUGGGGAUGGACUCGCGGCUUAUCAGCUUGUUGGUGGGGUAGUGGCUUACCAAGGCUUUGACGGGUAGCCGGCCUGAGAGGGUGGCCGGCGACCUGGGGACUGAGGGACGGCGCAGACGCGUACGGGAGGCAGUGGGGGGGAGUAUUGCACAAUGGGCCGAAGCCUGAUGCAGCAACGCCGGGUGCGGGAUGACGGGUUUCGGGUUGUAAACCGCUUUCGCAUGUGACGAAGCGUGAUUGACGGUAAUGGGUAAAGAAGCACCGGCUAACUACGUG
rnacentral:rRNA from 1 species